rnacentral:lncRNA from 1 species
AAAAAGAAAAGAAAAGGAAAACGGAAGGAGGGGGGCUAGGAGAAAGGGAGGACGGGGCAUCGUGGCUUGGAUCUGUUAGGGGGCACCGAUGUCGUGGUGUGGGAGGUGUGAGGCUCGACAGGCAGCGGAAAAGGUAUGUAGAGUUACAUAUUCUCAAUAUCAUGUAUAUAUAGGGUUGAUGGAGGGUAAGGAAGAUUCUAAUCCGUUAAGGAUGGAAAUAUUAGAUCUUCCGAUGAAUGUGACGAGAUGAUGAAAGGUAUGAUCUGAAAAGAAGAUUAAGGGGGCGAUAGAGUGAAAUAGUUGUUAAGAAAAUGUGGGGAGGGAGAAAUGUGUUUAUUUUUGCUAAAGUUUAAUAAUAUUUUUAAUUUUUAAUUAUGGUGAAGUUAUCAUGAUGUAAGGUGACCAACAGAUCUGAUCUGGAAUAAUCUGAUUUAUUCCUACCCAGAUCUCAUUAUUAAUAUAUGUAAAAUAAGUUACUAUUAUGAUAUGUUAACAUGUUAACUAUACAGUUAGGUUAAUAAGACUGUUAAUAUGUUAACUAUACUGUUAUAUUAUUAUGAUACUAAAUUGAUAUGUUACUGCUAUAUGAUUGUUAAUAUAUCAAUAUGUUAACUAUACUGUUAAUAUGUUAAUAAGAAACAGUAAAAAAAAUAUGUUAAAAUAGCUACUGCUAUAUGACUUAUACUAGAUUGAUACUAUUAGUUUAAAAGAUAUAAGUUGUAUAAUUGUUAUGAUGCUGAUCAGAUUUAGUGCUAUAAGUUUUACAUCCAAACUUGGUGAUUGUCAUGCAAGUAGGAUUAUGAAAUACCAUAUAUUAUUUUAUGAAUGUUUAAUCCGUGGUAUGUUUUAACUCUAUAUUUCUUUUACUGUUUCAGAUGUUAAAAAUACUAUAGGGAUGCAUAUCAUGUUAAAUUAUAGAAUGUCUAUUAAGUGUCAUGUUUCGAUUGGGUUUUUUGUGCUAAUUUGAAAUGAAGAAAUACGGUAUUAUUAGAUCGGGGGUUUCGUGUGAUAUUUUUGAUGACAUGUGGGGGUGAGAAUAGAAUCUGAGCGGGGUAGUUUCAUAAUAAAUUAAGUUUGAGUUGAAAUAAUUAGUAAUUGAUUUCAUGACCAUGAUUGCUAAUUGAUUUAAUUGAAUGAAAUUGUUGCUGAUUGAAACUUGAGAAAAUGAUUAGGGGAGUGAUUGCAUGAAUGAACAUGGGAACAAGGGUAGAAAUGCACGUGUAAAUGAGUUAAAGAAUGGAUGAAUGAUUGCAUAAAUGAACGAACGAAGGAAUGAAUGAAUGAAUGAAUGUAUGAGUGAGACAUGAUCGGGGUGUUUUGACGCCUAACCGACGGUAAAUGAUGAAUGACGAUCCAUCUGGGUCUUAUGAAUGAUGAUUGAUUGAUGAACUAGAUUAGGGGUUUACUUAUUUCUUGCUUAUUAUGUGCAUCCUUUACUAAUUGUAGUGUGAAAUAGCUUGAUAUCUGAGACAGGAUAGUAUGGAUCGAUGCUUUACAUACUGAGUGAUGAAAUCACUCGAUACAUACUAUGUUGCAGGGAAUAAAGGCAGUCUUGCUUAGCUGGAAUGGUAGGAAGCAAAGGACUCGUCGAGGCGACGAGACUAGCUUGCGUAGAACAUAACUCUUAUAGUCAUUGUUGUCUAUUUUGGGUUGUAAUAAAUACGAACUUAGAAUUCUUAAAGACUGAAUAUGUUAGAAUUUUGUUAUAUUCAAAUUCUGUUAGGGAAACAUGAUAUUAUAAGUCAUGUUAGUGUAUUAAAACUCUGUGUGGGAAGUAGAGUUUUACACUCUACCUCACAGACACCAUCACAGGCAACCCCCACCAAUGUAAACCCCACCACCUUCUGCUUCUACAAACAAUGUUGCCUACUACAAGGUCUAUUGUGUUGGAUCGUGAUCCGAGGCUAUAAGGGGGGAUAAUAGUCUCUUUUCGAUUUAUGCAGAUUAAUAACGAAAUUACCUGCACACACUUAAGUACACAAAUAGUUGUAUGAUAAUAAUAGUAUAAUAUUGUUAGCAUAUAAUACUAUUAUAUGAUUUUAAGGAAUAUAAUAUUAUAUCUUAUAAUAUUAUAUAUAGAACUUGUCUUUUUCUCUUAAAAUUUACUACAGUAUAUGAAUACAGA